GUCCUUGCCGUAAACGAUGUAUACUUGACGUAGCUGGGCUCAACCCUGGCUGUGUCGGAGCUAACGCAUUAAGUAUACCGCCUGGGGAGUACGCUCGCAAGGGUGAAACCCAAAAGAAUUGACGGGGGCCCGCACAAGCAGUGGAGCAUGUGGUUUAAUUCGAUGCAACGCGAAGAACCUUACCCAGGCUCGAAAUGCAGGAGACGAUGGCAGAGAUGUCAUUUUCCGCAAGGACUGCUGUAUAGGUGCUGCAUGGCUGUCGU
rnacentral:rRNA from 1 species